AAACUUUAAAUGGGUGAGGAGUCCGCCUUGCCUGGUCGAAGGCCGGACGUUUGCGGAUGCGAGUGCCCAGUGGGCCACUUUUGGUAAGCAGAACUGGCGCUGUGGGAUGAACCAAACGCCGGGUUAAGGCGUCCGAUGCCAGACGCUCAUGAGACCCCAUGAAAGGUGUUGGUCGCUAGAAACAGCAGGGCGGUGGCCAUGGAAGUCGGUAUCCGCUAAGGAGUGUGUAACAACUCACCUGCCGAAGCAACUAGCCCUGAAAAUGGAUGACGCUCAAGCGUCGAGCCCAUACCCGGCCGUCGUGGCAGAACGGAGUCGAGAGUUAGGCCACGACGAGUAGGAGGGUCGCGUCGGUGGCGCGGAAGGUCCGUGCGCGAGUGCGACUGGAGCCUCCGACGGUGCAGAUCUUGGUGGUAGUAGCAAAUACUCGAGCGAGAACCUUGAGGACUGAAGUGGAGAAGGGUUCCACGCGAACAGCAGUUGGUCGUGGGUCAGUCGGACCUGAGGCACCGGUGAAAACCGUUUCGAUGCGAGACGUGACCGGAGAGUCUCGCGGUCGCCGAAAGGGAGUGGGGUUAAUAUUCCCCGACCCGCACACGGAGAAUGAGCUUUCGGGCUCGAGCGCGGUGACGCAAUCGAACUCGGAGACGUCGACGGAGGACCCGGGGGAGAGUUGUCUUUUCUUCGUAAGCGGUCGUGUCCCUGGAAUCGGUUCGACCGGAGAUAGGGACGUUGUCCGCGUAAGAGCACCGCGUCUCCUGCGGUGUCCGGUACGCCUCCGUCGGCCCUUGAAAAUCCGAGGGAGGUGGUGUGAUUUUCGUGGCGGGCCGUACCCAUAUCCGCAGCAGGUCUCCAAGGU
rnacentral:rRNA from 1 species